AGUCGAGCGUGGCUUGACCCGCAAGGGUUGAGUCUAGCGGCGGACGGCUUAGUAACACGUAGGAAUCUGCCCCUCUCCGGAGGAUAGCUCGCCGAAAGGCGAGAUAAUACUCCAUAGUCCCCGCCUCUGGCGGGGUAAAGAUUUAUCGGGAAGGGAUGAGCCUGCGUCCUAUCAGGUAGUUGGUGGGGUAACGGCCCACCAAGCCAACGACGGGUAGCUGGUCUAAGAGGAUGAUCAGCAAGAGGGGGACCGAGAUACGGCCCCCACUCCUACGGGAGGCAGCAAUCAGGAAUAGUCGGCAAUGGGCGCAAGCCUGACCGCGCGACACCGCGUGUAGGAUGACGCUCUAAUCGAGUGUAAACUACUGUGGUAGAGGAAGAAGAUCCGCAAGGAUUUGACGGUACUCUACUAGAAAGGAGCCGCUAACUGCGUGCCAGAAGCGUCGGUAAUACGUGGGCUUCAAGCGUUAUCCGGUUUUAUUGGGCGUAAAGGGUCGUGUAGGCGGUUUGACAAGUUAUCUCUUAAAUUUUCUCGCUCAACGAGAAGCAAGGAGAUAAUACUGCCAAACUAGAAUUUCCUUAAGGGUAAAUGGAACUGAGGGAGGAGUAGUGAAAUGCGUUGAUACCCUCGGGAACACUCGUGGCGAAGGCGAUUUACUGGAAGGAAAUUGACGCUGAGACACGAAAGCUAGGGGAG
rnacentral:rRNA from 1 species